AACGAACGCUGGCGGCAUGCCUAACACAUGCAAGUCGAACGAAGUCUUCGGACUUAGUGGCGCACGGGUGAGUAACGCGUGGGAACCUGCCCUUCGGUACGGAAUAACGUCGGGAAACUGACGCUAAUACCGUAUAUGUCUCUGGAUGAAAGAUUUAUCGCCGGAGGAGGGGCCCGCGUCUGAAUAGCUAGUUGGUGAGGUAAUGGCUCACCAAGGCGACGAUCAGUAGCUGGUCUGAGAGGAUGAUCAGCCACACUGGGACUGAGACACGGCCCAGACUCCUACGGGAGGCAGCAGUGGGGAAUAUUGGACAAUGGGGGCAACCCUGAUCCAGCAGUGCCGCGUGAGUGAUGAAGGCCUUCGGGUUGUAAAGCUCUUUUGGCAGGGACGAUGAUGACGGUACCUGCAGAAUAAGCCCCGGCUAACUUCGUGCCAGCCGCCGCAGUAAGAC
rnacentral:rRNA from 1 species